UCUCGGGUGACGAGCGGCGGACGGGUGAGUAAUGUCUGGGAAACUGCCUGAUGGAGGGGGAUAACUACUGGAAACGGUAGCUAAUACCGCAUAACGUCGCAAGACCAAAGUGGGGGACCUUCGGGCCUCAUGCCAUCAGAUGUGCCCAGAUGGGAUUAGCUAGUAGGUGGGGUAAUGGCUCACCUAGGCGACGAUCCCUAGCUGGUCUGAGAGGAUGACCAGCCACACUGGAACUGAGACACGGUCCAGACUCCUACGGGAGGCAGCAGUGGGGAAUAUUGCACAAUGGGCGCAAGCCUGAUGCAGCCAUGCCGCGUGUAUGAAGAAGGCCUUCGGGUUGUAAAGUACUUUCAGCGAGGAGGAAGGCGUUAAGGUUAAUAACCUUGGUGAUUGACGUUACUCGCAGAAGAAGCACCGGCUAACUCCGUGCCAGCAGCCGCGGUAAUACGGAGGGUGCAAGCGUUAAUCGGAAUUACUGGGCGUAAAGCGCACGCAGGCGGUCUGUCAAGUCGGAUGUGAAAUCCCCGGGCUCAACCUGGGAACUGCAUUCGAAACUGGCAGGCUAGAGUCUUGUAGAGGGGGGUAGAAUUCCAGGUGUAGCGGUGAAAUGCGUAGAGAUCUGGAGGAAUACCGGUGGCGAAGGCGGCCCCCUGGACAAAGACUGACGCUCAGGUGCGAAAGCGUGGGGAGCAAACAGGAUUAGAUACCCUGGUAGUCCACGCCGUAAACGAUGUCGACUUGGAGGUUGUGCCCUUGAGGCGUGGCUUCCGGAGCUAACGCGUUAAGUCGACCGCCUGGGGAGUACGGCCGCAAGGUUAAAACUCAAAUGAAUUGACGGGGGCCCGCACAAGCGGUGGAGCAUGUGGUUUAAUUCGAUGCAACGCGAAGAACCUUACCUACUCUUGA
rnacentral:rRNA from 1 species